GUGAAUCAUCAAAUUUUUGAACGCAAGUUGCACUCUCUUCGGAGAGUAUGCCUGUUUGAGGGUCAGACUAAAAAAAUCGACGUAGUCGCUGUUUCGCGGUGACAUCCGUCGGAAUUUGGGUCAUCUUAAAUAUUUGGGUUUUUUAAGUGGCUUAAAUUUUUCUUUACGAUUCAACGAACGUUUAUAAGAUUUUACUUCUUACACACGUUUAAGGUAUCGAUCUUUAUUAGACGUGGACGUAGCAUAGGAUCGCGUCAAUAAUUAUU
rnacentral:misc_RNA from 1 species